CCCGUACCGCAAACCGACACAGGUAGUCGAGGAGAGAAUCCUAAGGUGAGCGAGUGAACUCUCGUUAAGGAACUCGGCAAAAUGACCCCGUAACUUCGGGAGAAGGGGUGCUGAUCGCAAGAUCAGCCGCAGUGAAUAGGCCCAGGCGACUGUUUAUCAAAAACACAGGUCUCUGCAAAAUCGUAAGAUGACGUAUAGGGGCUGACGCCUGCCCGGUGCUGGAAGGUUAAAAGGAUGGGUUAGCUUCGGCGAAGCUCAGAAUUGAAGCCCCAGUAAACGGCGGCCGUAACUAUAACGGUCCUAAGGUAGCGAAAUUCCUUGUCGGGUAAGUUCCGACCCGCACGAAAGGCGUAACGAUCUGGGCACUGUCUCAACGAGAGACUCGGUGAAAUUAUAUUGUCCGUGAAGAUGCGGACUACCCGCGACAGGACGGAAAGACCCCAUGGAGCUUUACUGUAGCUUGAUAUUGAGUGUUUGUACAGCUUGUACAGGAUAGGUAGGAGCCAUAGAAACCGGAACGCUAGUUUCGGUGGAGGCGUUGGUGGGAUACUACCCUCGCUGUAUGACCACUCUAACCCGCACCACUAAUCGUGGUGGGAGACAGUGUCAGGUGGGCAGUUUGACUGGGGCGGUCGCCUCCUAAAAAGUAACGGAGGCGCCCAAAGGUUCCCUCAGAAUGGUUGGAAAUCAUUCGCAGAGUGUAAAGGCACAAGGGAGCUUGACUGCGAGACAGACAGGUCGAGCAGGGACGAAAGUCGGGCUUAGUGAUCCGGUGGUACCGUAUGGAAGGGCCAUCGCUCAACGGAUAAAAGCUACCCUGGGGAUAACAGGCUUAUCUCCCCCAAGAGUCCACAUCGACGGGGAGGUUUGGCACCUCGAUGUCGGCUCAUCGCAUCCUGGGGCUGUAGUCGGUCCCAAGGGUUGGGCUGUUCGCCCAUUAAAGCGGUACGCGAGCUGGGUUCAGAACGUCGUGAGACAGUUCGGUCCCUAUCCGUCGCGGGCGUAGGAAAUUUGAGAGGACCUGUCCUUAGUACGAGAGGACCGGGAUGGACAUACCUCUGGUGUACCAGUUGUGCCGCCAGGCGCAUCGCUGGGUAGCUACGUAUGGAUGUGAUAAACGCUGAAAGCAUCUAAGUGUGAAACACACCUCGAGAUGAGAUUUCCCAUUCCUUUAUGGAAGUAAGACCCCUGAAAGAUGAUCAGGUAGAUAGGUUAGAAGUGGCAGUGCGGUGACGCAUGAAGCGGACUAAUACUAAUCGGUCGAGGACUUAACCAAG
rnacentral:rRNA from 1 species